rnacentral:rRNA from 1 species
GAUAAACGCUAGCGGCAGGCUUAACACAUGCAAGUCGAGGGGCAGCAUAGAGUGUAGCACUACAAUUGGUGGCGACCGGCGCACGGGUGCGUAACGCGUAUGCAACCUACCCGUCACAGGGGGAUAAUCCGGAGAAAUCUGGUCUAAUACCCCAUAACAUAUGGAACGGCAGCGGGUACUGUUGAAAUUUUCGGAGGUGACGGAUGGGCAUGCGUAGCGUGAGCGUGUGGGUGAGGUAGCGGCUAACCAAGGCGACGAUGCUUAGGGGGACUGAGAGGUUUUCCCCCCACACUGGUGCUGAGACACGGACCAGAAUCCUACGGGAGGCAGCAGUGAGGAAUAUUGGUCCAUGGGCGCAAGCCUGAACAAGCCAUGCCGCGUGCAGGAUGACGGCUCUAUGAGUUGUAAACUGCUUUUGUACGAGGGUAAAGUGGGUUAAGUGUAACCUUUUGAAAGUAUCGUACGAAUAAGGAUCGGCUAACUCCGUGCCAGCAGCCGCCGUAA